CACAUGGCUCGAGUGCCGUAACGAGAGUGUAGCUUUGGCACUGUAAGUUAACCCCCUUUGGAAAUAACUUGGUUUUGGAAAGCACUCUCUAUGCAGGCUGGAGUGCGGGCAGCUCAGGCCGGUUUUGUUUCGUUUGUAUUAUAUUAUUUGCGAGCUCAGGAUAGACAAAAGGCCUCCCUAAUGCUGCCAGUAGGCGAGGAAGAAGUCUGCUAGCUCCAUAGUUCUAUUAUCAACGGACCGUUGUCAUAAAAAUGGCCCAAACAGCUCACCAAACCCUUCCAAAAGCAAAACAAGAAAAUGCUACUCCUUUCAAUUCCCCCGACUUGCUGUCAACUGCAAGCAGUCACCAAUGCUUUCUGUGCUCGUGCGUGAAAGGUUCCUCAGCCGUGUUGGCAGACCGCAGCUGCUUCCUGAUGCUGUUUAUCCAAAACCCCACCUGCUGUCAAGGGCAGUGCUGGCCGUGUGAAACAUCUUCACAGCCAUGCAGCAGCUGUACCUAGUAGGCUUGAUUUCUGCAAUGAAUUACCAAGGGUAUGUCAUUUAAAACCCUCUCUUCUUCUCAGCCU
rnacentral:lncRNA from 1 species